AGAGUUAACAAGUUGUGUGUAGCAUUUUUUGUCAUCAACAUGAUGAUGGCGGUGGCCGCAGCGCAAAGCGCUACGAACGUUAGGGCAACGUAUCAUUUGUACAAUCCGCAAAACAUAAACUGGGAUUUAAGAACUGCUAGCGUUUACUGCGCUACCUGGGAUGCUGACAAGCCUCUGGAGUGGCGCCGGAGGUAUGGCUGGACCGCUUUUUGCGGUCCAGCUGGACCUACGGGCCAAGCUUCAUGCGGUAGAUGCUUGAGGGUGACCAACACAGGAACAGGAACACAAGAAACAGUGAGAAUAGUAGAUCAAUGCAGAAAUGGAGGGCUUGAUUUGGAUGUAAACGUUUUCAACCGAUUGGACACUAAUGGAUUGGGCUAUCAGAGGGGAAACCUUAAUGUUAACUAUGAAUUUGUCAACUGCUAAACUUAAAAAAAGUGUCAUAUAUCAUCAUUACUAUAAUA
rnacentral:misc_RNA from 1 species